GCAGCCGCGGUAAUACGUAGGUGGCAAGCGUUGUCCGGAUUUACUGGGUGUAAAGGGCGUGUAGCCGGGUCGGCAAGUCAGAUGUGAAAUCUAUGGGCUCAACUCAUAAACUGCAUUUGAAACUGUUGAUCUUGAGUAUCGGAGAGGCAAUCGGAAUUCCUAGUGUAGCGGUGAAAUGCGUAGAUAUUAGGAGGAACACCAGUGGCGAAGGCGGAUUGCUGGACGACAACUGACGGUGAGGCGCGAAAGCGUGGGGAGCAAACAGGAUUAGAUACCCC
rnacentral:rRNA from 1 species